rnacentral:rRNA from 1 species
AGGUGUGAUACCUAGUUGGGAUAGCAUAGAAUAUGUAUACCGAUAUGUGCGAGACUGUGUUUGCAAGAAGGGUUCGGUCCGCUUGGGAUGGCCCGGUCCCAUUAGCUAGUUGGUGAGGUAAGAGCCCACCAAGGCGAUGAUGGGUAGCCGGCCUGAGAGGGUGAACGGCCACACUGGGACUGAGAUACGGCCCAAACNCCUACGGGAGGCAGCAGCUAAGAAUAUUCCGCAAUGGACGAAAGNCUGACGGAGCGACGCCGCGUGGAUGACGAAGGCCGGAAGGUUGUAAAANCCUUUUGCCAGUGAAGAAUAAGCGAGGGAGGGAAUGCCCNCGUGAUGACGUUAGCUGGUGAAUAAGCCCCGGCUAAUU